rnacentral:rRNA from 1 species
GCCAGCAGCUAUAUCAAUCUACAACUCACAACUGGCAGCCCACUGAAGCUAAGCAGAUGUGAACUUGGCUAGUAGCUGGAUAGGAGACCUCCUGGGAAAAGCUCAGGCUGCUGCUGGAA